rnacentral:rRNA from 1 species
GGGCCCGCACAAGCGGCGGAGCAUGUGGAUUAAUUCGAUGCAACGCGAAGAACCUUACCUGGGUUUGACAUGCACAGGACGACUGCAGAGAUGUGGUUUCCCUUGUGGCCUGUGUGCAGGUGGUGCAUGGCUGUCGUCAGCUCGUGUCGUGAGAUGUUGGGUUAAGUCCCGCAACGAGCGCAACCCUUGUCUCAUGUUGCCAGCGGGUUAUGCCGGGGACUCGUGAGAGACUGCCGGGGUCAACUCGGAGGAAGGUGGGGAUGACGUCAAGUCAUCAUGCCCCUUAUGUCCAGGGCUUCACACAUGCUACAAUGGCCGGUACAAAGGGCUGCGAUGCCGUGAGGUGGAGCGAAUCCUUUCAAAGCCGGUCUCAGUUCGGAUCGGGGUCUGCAACUCGACCCCGUGAAGUCGGAGUCGCUAGUAAUCGCAGAUCAGCAAUGCUGCGGUGAAUACGUUCCCGGGCCUU